rnacentral:rRNA from 1 species
CCUACGUGUGGCAGCAGUGAGGAAUAUUGGUCAAUGGGCGGAAGCCUGAACCAGCCAAGUCGCGUGAGGGAUUAAGGCCCUGCGGGUCGUAAACCUCUUUUGCCGGGGAGCAGUGGUCCGGACGUGUCCGGGCCGGGAGAGUACCCGGAGAAAAAGCAUCGGCUAACUCCGUGCCAGCAGCCGCGGUAAUACGGAGGAUGCGAGCGUUAUUCGGAUUUAUGGGGUUUAAAGGGUGCGUAGGCGGGCAUUUAAGCCGGCGGUCAAAUGUCGGGGCUCAACCCCGGCCUGCCGGCGGAACUGGGUGCCUUGAGUGGGCGAGAAGUAUGCGGAAUGCGUGGUGUAGCGGUGAAAUGCAUAGAUAUCACGCAGAACCCCGAUUGCGAAGGCAGCAUACCGGCGCCCUACUGACGCUGAGGCACGAAAGUGCGGGUAUCGAACAGGAUUAGAUACCCCAGUAGUC